rnacentral:lncRNA from 1 species
UGUGCCUUCUCUCCAGUGUUUGUCUGAAGAGACUUCCAAAAGAGGUACCAAAGGAAGCCGAACCCAUCCCCUGGCCUCAGAGGGGUCAGAGGUUGGGAGGGACACGCUGGUCUGAGGAUGGACGCAGGAGCGCACUCCCCCGGCUCCCUCUCUGGGCUAUCGCUGCUGCUCAGGCCCUGGGGACCCGCCAGAGUGGGACACCGUGCUCCAACACAGAUGAGGAAACUGAGGCCCCGAGUGCGUCUUCCUCAAGGCCACAUGGUGAAUGGAACAGUCCCUACCAGCCUGGAAAACAGACCAGCCUCUGUCACUCCAGAGAUAACCCACUCUCAUCUUGCUCGUACCUGGCUUCAGGGAUCUUGGGGAGAGAUAAGAGGUUAAAAAAGGGACAUAUCAAAACUCCCUCCUCUUGGAGCCUGCCCAGCUUUCAUCACCCUCCUGCCUCGGCCUGCACGCUGAGCGGAUUAUAAACGCCGCAUCAGGGAGCACUGCUUGGGCCUGUGGCGAAAACGGAAAUGCAACCAUAGCAUGGAGACGCUCUGAGAAAAGAUCCAGACCCACCUCAUCUCCCAGCCCUUCAAGCAGAGCUAUAAAAACAAGUUUGGGAGAAAAACACAUUCCCAUCCCCAAAGCAGAGGCCCCGCCUGAGCUCCCCCAUCCUCAGCAUCUGGGGUGGACCAGGUAUGUGUGUGCAUGACUAACACAGAACUUGCCUGAAGACUGGACGGAAACUUAGAAGCCAGCCCUGGGUCCUAGAGCGAGGCUAGGACUGGGCACGUAGAGGGAAACAGCACAUCCCUUCCUGAAGCCCCUUUCUAAGUAUCCAGGUCGUCAUCCAGUGUCAGCAACACCUGGGGUGUGGACGCCAGAUCAGCCACAGAGAAGGAGGCAGCUGCUACCUUCACGUACCCACCCGGCUCGGCCGGGAGGCCCGCUUACCAGGAAGGACCCGAACAUGGCGAUGGAGGAGAGGAAGUGCCAGAUGUCGUGGUCGUCAAAGAAGUCGAGGAGGAUGCAGUCCCGGUUGUGCUCCCUCGACUCUGCAGGGGUUUUCUUGGGGAGCAACAAGAAAAACUGCCGAAUGACCCUGCUCUGGCAGGGCAAGGGCCAGACCCAUCUGCCAUCUUGCUCCUGGGCACCCCUCUCUCCAGCCCCAGGCAGGACAGCAGCAAUUCUGACCUGUCCCUUGUCCUUGUCCCUACCCCUUCCCGAUCUAACAAAUGGCCUUUGGUUACAAACUUC